rnacentral:rRNA from 1 species
UGGUAACCUGCCUUGUANCGGGGGAGUAACUAUUGGAAACGAUAGCUAAUACCGCAUAACAAUGGAUGACACAUGUCAUUUAUUUGAAAGGGGCAAUUGCUCCACUACAAGAUGGACCUGCGUUGUAUUAGCUAGUAGGUGAGGUAAUGGCUCACCUAGGCGACGAUACAUAGCCGACCUGAGAGGGUGAUCGGCCACACUGGGACUGAGACACGGCCCAGACUCCUACGGGAGGCCAGCAUG